rnacentral:rRNA from 1 species
AUGGAGUUCUGUGAUCUCCAUGCUUUCAAUUUGGCAAUGUUAGCAAAACAAGUGUGGAGGUUAAUCACAAACCCCAAUACUUUGUGUGCGAGAGUUCUGAAAGCUAAGUACUUUCCCAACGGAGAUUUAUUGUCAGCAGGUCCAAAAAAGGGUUCCUCCUUUACUUGGCAGAGUAUUGUUGCAGGGAUACAGACUUUU